rnacentral:rRNA from 1 species
GUGGGGAAUAUUGCACAAUGGGCGCAAGCCUGAUGCAGCAACGCCGCGUGAGGGAUGACGGCCUUCGGGUUGUAAACCUCUUUUAGUAGGGAAGAAGCGAAAGUGACGGUACCUGCAGAAAAAGCACCGGCUAACUACGUGCCAGCAGCCGCGGUAAUACGUAGGGUGCAAGCGUUGUCCGGAAUUAUUGGGCGUAAAGAGCUCGUAGGCGGCUUGUCGCGUCUGCUGUGAAAACCCGAGGCUCAACCUCGGGCCUGCAGUGGGUACGGGCAGGCUAGAGUGCGGUAGGGGAGAUUGGAAUUCCUGGUGUAGCGGUGGAAUGCGCAGAUAUCAGGAGGAACACCGAUGGCGAAGGCAGAUCUCUGGGCCGUAACUGACGCUGAGGAGCGAAAGCAUGGGGAGCGAACAGGAUUAGAAACCCGUGUAGUCC